GACGAACGCUGGCGGCGUGCCUAAUACAUGCAAGUAGAACGCUGAAGGAGGAGCUUGCUUCUCUGGAUGAGUUGCGAACGGGUGAGUAACGCGUAGGUAACCUGCCUGGUAGCGGGGGAUAACUAUUGGAAACGAUAGCUAAUACCGCAUAAGAGUAGAUGUUGCAUGACAUUUGCUUAAAAGGUGCAAUUGCAUCACUACCAGAUGGACUUGCGUUGUAUUAGCUAGUUGGUGAGGUAACGGCUCACCAAGGCGACGAUACAUAGCCGACCUGAGAGGGUGAUCGGCCACACUGGGACUGAGACACGGCCCAGACUCCUACGGGAGGCAGCAGUAGGGAAUCUUCGGCAAUGGACGGAAGUCUGACCGAGCAACGCCGCGUGAGUGAAGAAGGUUUUCGGAUCGUAAAGCUCUGUUGUAAGAGAAGAACGAGUGUGAGAGUGGAAAGUUCACACUGUGA
rnacentral:rRNA from 1 species